UGGCUCAGGACGAACGCUGGCGGCGUGCCUAAUACAUGCAAGUCGAGCGAGCGGAACUAACAGAUUUACUUCGGUAAUGACGUUAGGAAAGCGAGCGGCGGAUGGGUGAGUAACACGUGGGGAACCUGCCCCAUAGUCUGGGAUACCACUUGGAAACAGGUGCUAAUACCGGAUAAGAAAGCAGAUCGCAUGAUCAGCUUUUAAAAGGCGGCGUAAGCUGUCGCUAUGGGAUGGCCCCGCGGUGCAUUAGCUAGUUGGUAAGGUAAAGGCUUACCAAGGCGAUGAUGCAUAGCCGAGUUGAGAGACUGAUCGGCCACAUUGGGACUGAGACACGGCCCAAACUCCUACGGGAGGCAGCAGUAGGGAAUCUUCCACAAUGGACGCAAGUCUGAUGGAGCAACGCCGCGUGAGUGAAGAAGGUUUUCGGAUCGUAAAGCUCUGUUGUUGGUGAAGAAGGAUAGAGGUAGUAACUGGCCUUUAUUUGACGGUAAUCAACCAGAAAGUCACGGCUAACUACGUGCCAGCAGCCGCGGUAAUACGUAGGUGGCAAGCGUUGUCCGGAUUUAUUGGGCGUAAAGCGAGCGCAGGCGGAAGAAUAAGUCUGAUGUGAAAGCCCUCGGCUUAACCGAGGAACUGCAUCGGAAACUGUUUUUCUUGAGUGCAGAAGAGGAGAGUGGAACUCCAUGUGUAGCGGUGGAAUGCGUAGAUAUAUGGAAGAACACCAGUGGCGAAGGCGGCUCUCUGGUCUGCAACUGACGCUGAGGCUCGAAAGCAUGGGUAGCGAACGGGAUUAGAUACCCUGGUAGUCCAUGCCGUAAACGAUGAGUGCUAAGUGUUGGGAGGUUUCCGCCUCUCAGUGCUGCAGCUAACGCAUUAAGCACUCCGCCUGGGGAGUACGACCGCAAGGUG
rnacentral:rRNA from 1 species